rnacentral:rRNA from 1 species
GCGGACGGGUGAGUAACUCGUGGGUAACUUGCCUUUUMCAGGGGGAUACACAGGGCAAYUUGUGCUAAUACCGCAUAACAUAACGAAAAGGCAUCAUUUUGUUAUCAAGGAGCAAUCUGGUAAAAGAUGGRCCGGCGUCCAACUACCUAGUUGGUGGGGUAAAGGCCACCAAGGGGASGMUUGGUASCCGAAGUGAGAGGYUGAUCGCCCACAUUGGGAGUGAGAACGGCCCAGAMUCCUACGGGAGGCAGCAGWGSGGAAUAUUGCGCAAUGGGGGAAACCCUAAGCMGCAACGSCGSGUGAAGGAUGAAGGUUUUSGGAUUGUAAWCUUMUUUGAUUGGGGCGAUAAUGACGGUACCCAAAAAACAAGCCCCGGCUAACUACGUGCCAGCAGCCGCGGUAAU